rnacentral:rRNA from 1 species
GAGAGGCAUCUCUUAAAUAUCAAAGGUGAGCCAGUACAGGAUGGACCCGCGUCUGAUUAGUUAGUUGGUAAGGUAACGGCUUACCAAGGCGACGAUCAGUAGCCGACCUGAGAGGGUGAUCGGCCACAUUGGAACUGAGACACGGUCCAAACUCCUACGGGAGGCAGCAGUGGGGAAUAUUGCACAAUGGGCGAAAGCCUGAUGCAGCAACGCCGCGUGAGUGAUGAAGGCCUUCGGGUCGUAAAGCUCUGUCCUCAAGGAAGAUAAUGACGGUACUUGAGGAGGAAGCCCCGGCUAACUACGUGCCAGCAGCCGCGGUAAUACGUAGGGGGCUAGCGUUAUCCGGAUUUACUGGGCGUAAAGGGGGCGUAGG